rnacentral:rRNA from 1 species
AGAGUUUGAUUCUGGCUCAGAACGAACGCUGGCAGCGUGGAUUAGGCAUGCAAGUCGAACGAGAAUCUUCGCGUUCAAUCUUUCGAGAGAGAACACGGGGAGGACAGUGGCGGAAGGGUGAGGAACACGUGGGUAAUCUGCCUCCGAGUCGGGAAUAACUCCGCGAAAGCGGGGCUAAUACCGGAUGUGGUGGUGCGGCGCCUGUCGCAUUGACCAAAGAUGGGGACCCUUCGGGGCCUGUCGCUGGGAGAGGAGCCCGCGUCCUAUCAGCUUGUUGGUGGAGUAAUGGCCCACCAAGGCUUACGGGUAGCUGGUCUGAGAGGAUGGUCAGCCACACUGGGACUGAGACACUGCCCAGACUCCUACGGGAGGCUGCAGUCGAGGAUCAUUCGCAAUGCGCGAAAGCGUGACGAUGCGACGCUGCGUGGAGGAUGACGGCCUUCGGGUUGUAAACUCCUGUCAUUUGGGGACAAUGGCGGGUGGGUGAAUAGUCCAUCCGUUUGAUAGUACCAGAAGAGGAAGCCACGGCUAACUCUGUGCCAGCAGCCGCGGUAAGACAGAGGUGGCAAGCGUUGUUCGGAUUUACUGGGCGUAAAGGGUGCGUAGGUGGUGUUGUGUGUCGGAUGUGAAAGCCCGCAGCUCAACUGCGGAACGGCAUUCGAAACUGCAGCACUAGAGUGCAGGAGAGGAGAGCGGAAUUCUUGGUGUAGCGGUGGAAUGCGUUGAUAUCAAGAAGAACACCGGUGGCGUAGGCGGCUCUCUGGAAUGCUACUGACACUGAGGCACGAAAGUCGGGGGAGCAAACAGGAUUAGAUACCCUGGUAGUCCCGACCGUAAACGGUGUACACUUGGUGUGGGGGGAAUUGACCCCCUCCGUGCCGGAGCUAACGCGUUAAGUGUACCGCCUGGGGAGUACGGCCGCAAGGCUAAAACUCAAAGAAAUUGACGGGGGCCCGCACAAGCGGAGGAGCAUGUGGCUUAAUUCGAUGCAACGCGAAGAACCUUACCAGGGCUUGACAUGUAGCUGCACGGCCGGUGAAAGUCGGUUUCCUUCGAGGGUGCUACACAGGUGCUGCAUGGCUGUCGUCAGUUCGUGCCGUGAGGUGUUGGGUUAAGUCCCGCAACGAACGCAACCCCUGUGGUUAGUUGCCACCGCCGGUGAUGAGCCGGCGAGCACUCUAACCAGACUGCCCGUGACAAGCGGGAGGAAGGUGGGGAUGACGUCAAGUCAGUAUGGCCCUUACGCCCUGGGCUGCACGCGUGCUACAAUGGUCGGUACAGAGGGACGCAAUGUCGCGAGGCGGAGCAAAUCCCCAAAACCGGCCCCAGUUCGGAUUGGAGUCUGCAACUCGACUCCAUGAAGUUGGAUUCGCUAGUAACGGCGUAUCAGCUACGGCGCCGUGAAUACGUUCCCGGGCCUUGUACACACCGCCCGUCACAUCAUGAAAGCUGUCUGCACCCGAAGUCGCUGAUCCAACCCGCAAGGGAGGAAGGCGCCGAAGGUGUGGGUAGUGAUUGGGAUGAAGUCGAAACAAGGUA